GACGAACGCUGGCGGCGUGCUUAACACAUGCAAGUCGAACGGAAAGGCCCUGCUUUUGUGGGGUGCUCGAGUGGCGAACGGGUGAGUAACACGUGAGUAACCUGCCCUUGACUUUGGGAUAACUUCAGGAAACUGGGGCUAAUACCGGAUAGGAGCUCCUGCUGCAUGGUGGGGGUUGGAAAGUUUCGGCGGUUGGGGAUGGACUCGCGGCUUAUCAGCUUGUUGGUGGGGUAGUGGUUUACCAAGGCUUUGACGGGUAGCCGGCCUGAGAGGGUGACCGGCCACAUUGGGACUGAGAUACGGCCCAGACUCCUACGGGAGGCAGCAGUGGGGAAUAUUGCACAAUGGGCGGAAGCCUGAUGCAGCAACGCCGCGUGCGGGAUGACGGCCUUCGGGUUGUAAACCGAUUUCGCCUGUGACGAAGAGUGAGUGACGGUAAUGGGUAAAGAAGCACCGGCUAACUACGUG
rnacentral:rRNA from 1 species